AACAAAGGCAGUAAACAAUGGAGUCGAGGCUAUGCCCACAAUAUAGGAAGUGUACAUGCACAACUAAAUUGCAGGAGUGUAAAUUUUGAAUAGGACGUCACCGCUCAGUAAAUUUACACAGACAUUACAUUUCGUUCUGUUGUUUUUAGACAUAAUGCUAAGCUGUUUUUUUAUAGCACACUGAUCGAUAUCUUAGUAAAAUAAUAUUUUUUUGUUAAACUAGCGGGGCACUGAAAUCUUUGCUUUGUGCUAAAGUCAACAGUGGCAGAGUUUGAGCUCAAAUAAAUGCCGUGAUGUCUGCAGCCCUUUGCAGUAGCUGAAGGCGAGGUUCCACAAUGAGCUCCGGUAGCUUGCCAGUAAGCAUCGACUGUAUUGCACAGGUCUCUGCUGGGGAGGGCUCCAUGGCUGUGGCGUCGGAGAGGUGCCUUCGGAGAAAGGAUGGAUAGGGAGGAGAGGAGGCCUCAAUGUAAGGGAGUAGAGGAGAGGAGGCCAUAAUGAUACAUAGAAGGAGAGUACUGGUUCGGACAGAAGAAGCAGAUGGAUCUGACUGCCACACACAUUGUCCCUUCAGUCGUGGGCUGUGCUGUGACCGCCCCAUGGCACCCGCCAGAUGGAGACGGCCUAACUUGACUUAUGUGUGGAAUGGGACCAAUGAGAUCAAUGCAGUCCUGCCUACGACCUUCUCCCCGCAUCACCGCAUCACCACAGAACCACAGACACAUAAAGGCACUUUCCUCUCUGAGUGCAUGUCUACCUGGCUGCGUCUGCUUCUGACCUGUCUGCAUCUAUGAAAUAUCAAAGCUUGUGUCAGGCAUCGCUGAAUAGGGACAAAAAAGAAGCACCAUUAAUGAUUAACUGUUCUAAAAGUCCUGGCUUCUUUAUUCCCAUGGUUCCCGGGUUAUCUUGCGGCCAUGUGAUUUGCUCGCAGUGUUUUUCAAGCAGAUUGGGGGAAAGCUAGUGAGCAAACACAGGUGCUUUGGACUGGAGUCACAGACGCUGUCAGGGACAACCACAAACAAGAGCAGCAAUGCCUGGCUAAAUGAGAGCCCAUCCCCUUACUUACUCCCUGGCUAGCUUAGCUUUGUCACUGACCGCAGUGGCUGGAGAUACUCACCACAGCCCAAGUCCAAUGUCCUCCUAGUGUUCCACAACUUUUCCCACUCUCCAAAGAAACAAACAAAUAAAAUGGGAGGGUUGAAGCCCACUUGGCAUUCGCUCUGGUCUCGAGUAUAGAGGGAGAGCAAACAAAUGAAUGGUGUUCCAUUUCUCCCUUUCUAAAACAAACCAAAUGGGGUUUUCCUAAAGUGGGGCAAUUCCAGUGACCCUGGUGUCAAACAGGGUUCAACACUCCGGUACUUGAGAAACAUAGUGGGAAAUGAGAGAGAGAUAUUCAGAAAGGUGCUAUGGGUUCUCAGAAAUAUGCAGGAAGACAAUCUGAUUCUCAGAAAAUGGACUGGUUGAUUUGAUUGUUUCAUGAAUGUUUCAUGACAGGAAGAUGACGAAUAAAUCAUGAAUACAUAAAAGCAUA